rnacentral:rRNA from 1 species
UACAGAGGGUGCUAGCGUUGUUCGGAAUCAUUGGGCGUAAAGGGCGUGUAGGCGGUUUGUUAAGUCAUGUGUGAAAUCCCUCGGCUCAACCGGGGAACGACGCAUGAAACUGGCAAGCUAGAGUACCAAAGAGGGGGGUGGAAUUCCCGGUGUAGCGGUGAAAUGCGUAGAUAAUCGGGAGGAACACCUGUGGCGAAGGCGGCCCCCUGGU